UAGCUAUUAAACAAAGUCCAAAAAUUUGGUAACAUCGCAUAAGUAAACCGUAUAGACUCAAACUGAUUAGUUGGAAAUUUUAAUCGUAUUUCGUACACUACACGUGUACGUGUACGAGUAAAAAAGUAUAACAAUUUUUAAUAUCAUUUUUAGAUGUAACUUGGAAACUAAGGUUAUACUUUAACAAGUACCUACAUUCAACUUAAAGUAAUAGUAUUAAAAAAAUAAUAAUAAUAACAUAUAUUUAUAUUUAGGCAGGUAAGUACAUACUCGUAUUUUUUAACUAUGGAGAGAUGGAAAAAAAUCACAUAUCUAAUCGCCGUGUAUUUAUUUAUAACCCAUGCGCAACCACUAGAACUGAUUUAUUAAUUUGUUUAGCCAUAAAGACUUUCUGUAAACAAUCUGUUUUAACGAUUGAACACUAUACAAUACCACAACAAUAACCAGUGGCGGCUC